rnacentral:rRNA from 1 species
CCUACGGGAGGCAGCAGUGGGGAAUAUUGGACAAUGGGGGAAACCCUGAUCCAGCCAUGCCGCGUGAGUGAUGAAGGCCUUAGGGUUGUAAAGCUCUUUCAGCGGGGAAGAUGAUGACGGUACCCGCAGAAGAAGCCCCGGCUAACUCCGUGCCAGCAGCCGCGGUAAUACGGAGGGGGCUAGCGUUGUUCGGAAUUACUGGGCGUAAAGCGCGCGUAGGCGGUUAGCAUAGUCAGGUGUGAAAGCCCCGGGCUCAACCCGGGAAUUGCACUUGAUACUGGCUGACUGGAGUUCGGAAGAGGAGAGUGGAAUUCCCAGUGUAGAGGUGAAAUUCGUAGAUAUUGGGAAGAACACCAGUGGCGAAGGCGGCUCUCUGGUCCGACACUGACGCUGAGGCGCGAAAGCGUGGGGAGCAAACAGGAUUAGAUACCCUUGUAGUC